AUUGAACGCUGGCGGCAGGCUUAACACAUGCAAGUCGAGCGGAGCGAGGGUGCUUGCACCUUAGCUUAGCGGCGGACGGGUGAGUAAUGCUUAGGAAUCUGCCUAUUAGUGGGGGACAACAUUCCGAAAGGAAUGCUAAUACCGCAUACGCCCUACGGGGGAAAGCAGGGGAUCUUCGGACCUUGCGCUAAUAGAUGAGCCCAAGUCGGAUUAGCUAGUUGGGGGGGUAAAGGCCUACCAAGGCGACGAUCUGUAGCGGGUCUGAGAGGAUGAUCCGCCACACUGGGACUGGGCCCCGGCCCAGACUCCUACGGGAGGCAGCAGUGGGGAAUAUUGGACAAUGGGCGGAAGCCUGAUCCAGCCAUGCCGCGUGUGUGAAGAAGGCCUUUUGGUUGUAAAGCACUUUAAGCGAGGAGGAGGCUACUUAGAUUAAUACUCUGGGAUAGUGGACGUUACUCGCAGAAUAAGCACCGGCUAACUCUGUGCCAGCAGCCGCCGUAACAC
rnacentral:rRNA from 1 species